GACGAACGCUGGCGGCGUGCUUAACACAUGCAAGUCGAACGGAAAGGCCCUGCUUUUGUGGGGUGCUCGAGUGGCGAACGGGUGAGUAACACGUGAGUAACCUGCCCUUGACUUUGGGAUAACUUCAGGAAACUGGGGCUAAUACCGGAUAGGAGCUCCUGCUGCAUGUUGGGGGUUGGAAAGUUUCGGCGGUUGGGGAUGGACUCGCGGCUUAUCAGCUUGUUGGUGGGGUAGUGGCUUACCAAGGCUUUGACGGGCAGCCGGCCUGAGAGGGUGACCGGCGACAUUGGGACUGAGAUACGGCCCAGACUCCUACGGGAGGCAGCAGUGGGGAAUAUUGCACAAUGGGCGGAAGCCUGAUGCAGCAACGCCGCGUGCGGGAUGACGGCCUUCGGGUUGUAAACCGCUUUCGCCUGUGACGAAGCGUGAGUGACGGUAAUGGGUAAAGAAGCACCGGCUAACUACGUG
rnacentral:rRNA from 1 species